rnacentral:tRNA from 1 species
GCCUACGUAGCUUAAACCCACCCAAAGCAAGACACUGAAAAUGCCUAGAUGGGCUCAUACACCCCGUAGGCA